UAAUGUGGAAAACUAUUUUAUCUCUCUCUCUUUCCUUCUUUUUUUCUUUUGUUUUGUUGUUGUUGUUUUUUCACACGCUCUUCGUCUCUUUCUCGCUCUCUCUCGAUUACACGCACACACAAACAGAGAGAGAGAGAGAGAGAGAGAGAGAGAGAGAUAGAGAGAUAGAGAGAUAAG
rnacentral:miRNA from 1 species